ACGGAGUGCAACGCAGGAAAAAUUUUAAACUCGGAUUGGCCAAGUGCGAUAUUUCUUUUAUUUGCCUUGCGAGUAACGUGAGGGAGUGCGGAGUGACCCGCAGCGCCCCCCCUCUCUCUCUAUCUGGACCGAGAGCAUGGCUCAGAGAAAAGGCUGCGAAUUGGGAUAAAAUCUUGCCUGGCAUAAAAAAAUUUCUCUUCGAAUUCUAGUGGAAAAGGAGUAAAGGAGUCAGUCGUUCUCGGAGCGAUCGAUUACCGUCUCUUAAGGUAUGGCGAUCUUGUUGUCCCCUCUAAUCCCUUCCUCUUGCCGUUUAUAACGCUGCAUCGAACUUUUUUUUGUUUUUUUAAUGUUCUUUCAGGGGGAUUCUUGUCAAAAUUGGGAGUUUUUUUGAAGAACUGAUGGAUACGUUUGCGAGAGUAGUUUUCACUGAAGUGUGUUCUUCUCUUUCCAUUUUUUUUAAUUUUUGGGUGAUUUUUUUGGCAAUUUUAUGGUUCACGAUAGGAUUUAGGAGGAUGGGAAUUUCCAAGAUUUUUGGUAGAAGUUGCGAUUUUUGGGGUUUGGAGGUUGUAAGAAGCUGGGAAAGAUUCCUUUUUGCUCCCCAUGGUUCAAUUAUUGGAGGUUACCUCAAUCAUUUGUUUGGAGCAUGUGUUCUGCGUUGCAUCUUGGCCUCA
rnacentral:lncRNA from 1 species